GACUUUGGGGAAAAUGGUUGUUUUGACCACAUCCAAGUUGUCAGAUUUAUUGAUGUGAAGCGAGCUUCAGGAUUCCCUUAUUUUUAUGCUUUAAAAAGAUUUAUUUUAUUUUUUAAUCAAUCUUUUCUUUUUUAAUUUUUUUUAUUUAUUAUGUAUACAUCAUACAGCUUUCUGCCUGCAUGUAUGCCUGCAGGCCAGAAAAGGGCAUUGGAUCUCAAUACGAAUGGUUGUGAGCCACCAUGUGGUUGCUGGGAAUUGAACUCAGGACCUCUGGAAGAGCAGACAGUGCUCUUAACCGCUGAGCCAUCUCUCCAGCCCCCUAUUUUAUUAUUUGAGCGUGUGAAUGCAUGCUGCAUGUGUGCAUGUCCACAGGGGGAAGAGAGGGUGUUGGAUCUCCUCGAACUGGAGUUACAAUUGAAUGUGGGUCCUCGAGAAGAGCAAUAUAAACUCUUUUUUUUUUCUUUUUUUCGGAGCUGGGGACCAAACCAGGGCCUUGCGCUUGCUAGGCAAGCGCUCUACCACUGAGCUAAAUCCCCAACCCCGCAAUAUAAACUCAUAACUGCUGAAUCCUCUCUGCUACCCCAGCUUCCCUUAUUUUUAAACCUCAGCUGUAGCACUGAGACCGCAGGGGUGGAGCUUGCCUUGUGCAUGUAAGGUACUGGGUUCGAUUCCCAAGAAGAAGAAUAAAACUCCCUCAAUUGUGUAAAUAAUUUUUUACCACAUUGGUCCUAACAUUUCAUAUUUCUGGGUUUUUUUUUUCAAUAAGUCAUGAAUUCUGUCUCCUUAAAAAAAAAUACUACUCUUUGUUAUUAUUCCUUGUUGAUCUUCUUUUAAAAAACAAAAAACAAAAAAAGUAUUUUCUGGGGCCUGGAGAGGUGGCUCAGAAGGUAAGAGCAUUGGCUGCUCUCAUAAAGAAGCCGGGUUCAAUUCCCACCACCCAUAUGGCAGCUUACAAGUGUUUCUAAUUCUAGUUCCUGGGCAUUAGACAACCUCACACAGACACACACACAGGCAAGACACCAAUCAAGGCGUAUAAGAUAAAAUUAAACAAAGCGUUCAUAAAUGUAUUUUCUUUCUUAUUCCAUGUUAUUUGCUUGCUUACUUCUUGCUCCUUCCCUAGCUUCAUAGAUUCUAAACACAACUCACUUGUUUGUAACUUGGUUUGGUUUCAAGAGGAAUAAUGAAUUUUACUGUUGAGACUAAGUGAUGAAAUAUUAUACCUCUCUCUGCUUCAUCCCCUAGUACUGAGCUCCUAAUCUAUCAGUGAUGUCUUGGGGGACAAGAGCAUCUUUGGUUCUAAUGAAGUGGGUCUUGGUGAGCUCCCAGAUACAGGCUGUUCACCAGAAAGUGUGAGGAGGACCUUGGACCUCUCAGCCCGACUCUUCAUCCUCCAGGAAGAAGGGAAGGUGAAGGACAGAGCUGACUCACAAUCAUUCAAGCAUCCUGAAGAUAACAUAAGAAUCCAUGCAUCAGUGGUCGUUCCUGCAGGGCUGCUCCUCACCUCUCUCUACACACUUCUCCUCACGUAAAUCUUCAACUUCCCUGUCCAUCUUCAGUUUUCUUAUGGCUUUUCAGUAAGUAAGUAUAAGCCAUGUGUUUCUCUAAGCCCAGGGAGGGGUCACGAACUGGGCUUCACCCCACCAGUUGGUUAGAGCACAGUUCCUUUAACUCUUGAUGACAUCUGAGUGCUGGCAGUCUUGUGGGACUGAGCCCCGAAGGACCUUGUGCGGCCCACUUGGUGUGUACUAGGAAGACCAAAGGUAUAGAAGUCUGGAGAGAGAAAACAGAUAGAGGCUAUUUUUUCAUAUCCCAAACAACAAGAGAACCAAGCAUGGUGACCUGUAAUCCCAGGACUCAAUAGGCAGAUAGUCUAUGAGUUCAAGGCCAACCUGGUCUACAUAGUGACACUCUGCCUCAACAGAAACUAAACAGAAAAGCGGACAGACAAAAAGCACAAUCAAACAACAAUAUACACUGCUUUUUGGGAAAGUAAGCUUAUGUAUACCAUUCUAAUGCUUGUUUAAAAGUUCCCAAUGCUGUAUGAUUCCCAAUGAGUUCCUCUUAAAUUUAGGUUUCCAAGAGAUAGACUUGUUUGUCUAUUCAUUUGUUUGUUUUGAGACUAAAUUCUUAAUCCUCUUGCCUCUACCUUAUACAUGCUGGGAUCACAGGCAUGUACCGCCAUGCCUGGUUUGUGUGGUUCUGUAUAGGGAAUCAGACAUCUAAGGCAAAUGUUCCACCAUCUCAGCUGUAUCUCCAGCCCCAAGAGAUUGUUUCUAAAUCUUAUAAUCCAUAUGUGGUACUUAAAAUGUCUUCCGAGUUUCAGCAUGACUGGUAAAAUCUUGUUUGAGCUGAAAGACUAGAUCUUAAAAAUGCAUUGAGGCCUCUCUUGAAAAUGGCAGCUAAGCCAUUUUCUUCAUAAAUCUCUUACUACCUUAAAAGAGUGCCUAAGUCAUGUUUAUCUUUUACUGCUUAUGGAGAAUACAGCUACGAAGCUGGGUGUGUGGUAACAAGCCUUUAAUCCCAGAACUUGGGAGGCAGAAGCAAUUGUACCUCUGAGGUUUUGAGACUAGCCUGGUUUACGUGCAAGUUUCAGGUUGGCUACUGCUAAAUACUAAAGCCUUGUCUCAAGGAAAAGAAAAAGGAAAAGGAAAAGGAAAGGCUGUAUCUUUCACAAUGUCAUAUGGUCUAUAAUUCUGUCACCUUCGUAUUCUGUGGUUGAGUUGUUAGGUACAGUGUUCCUCUUUUACCUCCGAAGCACUUUUAGUCUUUACAUCUCUCAAGCAUUGGCAGUCUGUACACACAUGUGUGUGCACCUGGGCACACCUCCAUUUGUGUGAAUUUGAGUUCUUCAUGCAAACAUGCUCAGGCAUAUGAAGGUCAGAAGUCAUCCCUAGGGAGUUUUAAAAACGAGUUCUUUAAGUGGCCUAGAUCUUGCCAAAUGGGCUAGGCUGACUUGGCCACCAAGCUCCAGAGAUCCUCUAGUUUCUGACUCACCCCAACAUCCCUGAGGACAUGUAACCAGCUUUGGGGACCUUGUAAGCAGUUAGUAGGUUUCAAACUCAGGUCUUCACAAUUGUGCAGAAAGCACUUUACUGAAUGGCCUUUCCCCAGCUCCUCUCUUUUCUAAUUUGUUUUUUACUUCUAGUGUUUUUUUUUUCCAUUUAUGGUGCUGUGGCUGACCCCAGGGUCUUGCGUGUGCUAGGUAAGCACUCCACCACUCUCAGAGAAGGUUGUUCACUAAGAAGCCUCCAUCUGGAACUAGGGCCGAGAUGUCCCCAUCUCAACAGAUAAACAAACAACAUAGAAACACAAGAAACAUGAAAGCAUAAGCAAGAUGUCACCAAAAGUCCCUAUUAAACCACCCCCCUCAAAAAAAUGAAAGAAAAAAAAAACAGGCCAUUUUAAAAGUUGAGGGAGUUUUGCCUUGUUUCCAUUGAGAUAGGAUUUCACUGUGUAGACCAGGCUGGCCUGGAACUUGAUAGGUAGACCAGGCUGGCCUGGAACUUGAUAGGUAGACUAGGCUAGCCUGGAAAUCACAGAAGUCCACCUUGUCUCUGCUUCCUGAGUGCUGGGACUAAAGAUGUGCGCCACCGUGGCUGGCCGAAAGUUGUUUUGGUUUUGGUUUUGUUCUUAGUUUUGUUUUAUUUUGUGUAAAAAUCAAGAUUCAAGUCAACUUACAAGUUAAAAAAAUCAAACUUGACUGAGAAAUUCAGCAUAGACUUUGAAAAGGGGAAAAAAAUUAAAAGCUCAACUAAGCUGGGCCAUGGUGGUGCACACCUUUAGUCCCAGCACUCAGGGAAGCAGAGGCAGGUGGAUCUCUACGUUUGAGACCAGCCUGGUCUACAGAGUGAGUUCUGGGACAGCCAGGGCUACACAGAGAAACCCUGUUUUGAAAAACAACAAACAAACAAAAGCCCAACUAAAGUAACGAUAAAACAGGCCGGAUGGUGGAAAGAAAAAGAUUAGAGAUAAGGUUGAAGAAUUCUGAGGUUCAACCACAAAGCAAACUAAGAGCAAACUAAUCACAACCACCAUCACAUCCAGGUUCCCAGAGACAUAGGAGACCAAAUAUAUGCAUCCAUAGAGUGUGCUGUGUGACACAAGUUACUCACCUCGGAAAUAGGAAUUCGGAGCAUCAGAUGCCUGUGAACAUGUCUGCGGAUCAUCUUCUCGAUUAAUGGUUAAUGUAGGAAGGCCCAAACCACUGUGAGAGCUGAAGUGCUAUCCUGGGCAUGUAGCCCAGGUUAUAUAAUAAAGGUAGCCCAGUAGCCCGGCACACCAAUAAAAAGCAAGCUAAUAAGCACCGUCACGAGCUCUGCUUCAGAUUAGGCCUCCAGGUUCCUUCCUUGAGUUCUUGCCUGGCUUCUCUCAAGUGAUGGACUUUAACCUAUAAGCCAAAUAAACCCUGUCCUCCCCAAGUUGCUUUUGGUCAUGGUGUUUUUAUCAGAGCAAGAGAAAGCCAAUUAGGACAGGUGUAGAAGAAGAAGAAGGAUCUGAGGUAGAGACAUAUAAAAUCUGAGGUACAGGCAUAUAAAACUUAGUAAUGGGAAUUAUAGAAGGGCCAUUCCAAAGCCGCGAGGGAAAGUAAACAUCCAAGUGCAGGGGGGUCAUUUCAAACCCCAAGCAGGCAUUAUAAAAUUAUAAAAGAUGUUACAUUGGUUUGGUAAAAAGGAAGCUGAGAAGGCCUACCCUUCAGAGAAGCUUUAUUAGGGGAGUUACAGACGGCGCCAUUGGCACAGACAGCAGUAACGGGCCUCUGAGGGAUGAUACCGAGCCUUCAAGUUGAAGAAGAGCUUUGUUAGGAAGGUGAGCCAUCGUGGACAGCUUUGUUACAGGGAAACUUAGGGUUCCCUUCGGGGCUCUUAGUCACAUCAAUAUAAGAAUUAAAAAAAAAUAUUCAGAAGAAAGCUUGUGAAUAAUCUCUUUUUUUCAAUAUAUAAAUCUUUUUCUUGUUCCCAAAGAGCCCAGAUUGUACUUGUGGCCAGGAUCUUGUUUCUGGAGCUAGGAAACUGAGGUCUCACUCGUCAGCCAGCGGCACGAUUCCCUUCUCAGACGCGGAGAUGCCAUCCAAAAACUUUCCGAUAUGCUUGUUUUAACAGCUGUGGCUUGCUGAGUCAGAGCCGCUGAAUUCGAAACAAGUUCAAUAUCAUUUCCUUCAAGGAUUAAUCCAUCCUUCUGGGCUUGAGAGGCAGAGCAAGCAACAUCUGUCCUCACCUGAACCCUGCAGAUGAAUUUUUCAUCCAAGAAACUUCAGAUUUCAACCACAGAGCCGUUCUCCUGAAUAACGACGUUGAUAGGGAAGUGAACACACGCAGACCUCGUCUUGUAACGGAAGCCCAGCGUCACACCCUUGAUCACGUUCUGAACACGAGUGCACACGCUUCUGACAGUGACCAGUUCCUUUCUGUUACCAUUUGUCAACACGGAGCCUUUUCUUUUCCAAGAAGACGCAGCUCUACGUUGAUGCGAUUGAAAUCCCUCCACAGAGUUCCCCUGGGGCCCUUCACAAUCACUGUGCGCCCCUUCAGAGUGAUGUUCGACAUUUUCUGGAAUGUUCGCUGAGAAUGGUCUUCAUUCUCUCGGUAGAUGGAGCAAAGAGAACGCUUGUGAAUAAUCUUAUGAGACGUUGAGGAAAACAACAGAGAGCAACAGGCAGCUGAAGGAGGCGGAUUGAAAGUCAUGCUUUUUUUUUUUUUUUUUUUUUUUUUUGGUUCUUUUUUUCCGGAGCUGGGGACCGAACCCAGGGCCUUGCGCUUCCUAGGUAAGCGCUCUACCACUGAGCUAAAUCCCCAGCCCCGAAAGUCAUGCUUUUUGAGUGGAGCUGUCUGGUAGCCACAGGGUAGAAAGAGACGGGACCUUCAGAGAGUGAGUGAGAACGCAAGAUCAUCCAAACUCAUGAUUGGCCAAACGGAAAAAGAUCAAAAGAAAGCAAACUCAGAAAAUCCGGUAGAGGCUGCACAGCCACAAGAGAAUGAUUCAGCUGAUCGGAGCCGUCAUCUUAACGUGUUUUGGGGUAAAUUAGGUUUGGGGGUAGUGGCUAUGAAGGGGAGCUCCUGGCUAAGUGAUUGUUAGAUUGACUAAGAAAACAGCUUUCUCUUAUAUGGGCCUCAAUAACACCGUAUACCUUUCCAUAUGGUAAUUUAAGUCUUAAACAGCCAAUCAUAAUACUUCCCUUCCUACAAGGUAACAGAACUUGAGGACCAAAACUGACCCCGAAGAAUGAGACUCAUCCCCAACGGUGCCCAAGCCUGAUAAUGCCUGCCUAACUACCAGAGACUCAGGGAAGCAUUUGCACCAAGUGAGAGGGAUCACACACACCAAUUGUCGGUGAUGGAUGGAGAGCCCGUUGAUCAGCAGCCAGAAGGUAGAUCUGGCUACCUUCUGAAGGCUCACCUGAGACAAUUCCACGCCCGUGAUGACAGAGGAACAGGAGAGAAAGUCACAGGGUGCCAUAGUUGAGACUUUAGAGAUCCCUUAAAGGCCCAGGUCUGGAUAUGAGCAGCACUACCUCUGCCAUUCCUACUGCUCAACCUGCUUCAUUCAGUGGCUGGAGAGGGUUCGCAGCACCAGAUCCCUGAAGAGAUGUCCUUGGCUUCAUCAGUUCAUUUACAGACCUAUCUCUUACAGGAAGAGGAAUGUAUUUGUAUUACCCUGACUGUUUUCUUUCACCAUGUUUCAGUGAGGAAACUUUGAGUCUGUCACCUUGCACAGAAUAAAACACCCAUGUAAGUAUUGGUGUAAGAUA